UCACUCCUCUCUAGAAAUCCCUCCCCCUCUCUAAAUUACUUCUCUGCUAAAAUUUUACCCAACUCUAAAUCUCUCUAAUCAAAAUGUGAAUCUCAUUUAUCAGGAAUACAAAAUAAAUGGCACAGAAAGACUCAUUUGAAGCCUAUUUGUUGUUGUUGUUGUUGUUGUUGUUAUUGUUGAUUUUCAGUCUUGUCAGAACUCGACUAUCUCAGUUUGGGAAAUGAAAGAAACUGGACGAGGAAAAAGUGAGAGAGGAGGGACGAAUUUUGAUCAAUCAUUCUCUGAUAUCUGCUUCAGGCGUUGUUGCUGCUGUUUCUACUGAUUUACUCCUACCUAUGACUAUAAAAGUGUUUGUGUGAUAUGGUCAAUUACUAGGUGUUGUAUGAUAUGGUUGAUUACAGAGUAUAUGUUAACUGAAAUUUGGGGAGUCCCAUGCAAGCUCUGGCCAUUGGGAAAGAAGCAUACGAUAUUUAAGGCUGUGAUUAAUACUUAAACAAAUUAUUGCGAGACGAAAUGGAAAAUUCUUAAAGAAAAUUCAGUGUGCAACCUUGAUGGGAUGUCCUGGUAUCUCAGAUUGUCGAUCGUAUAUUGAAUUUUUGAGUAGUUGAUCGGGUUUAAUGAAGGAUGGUGCUGGUAUUAGCAUUGGGCGAUCUUCACAUCCCGCAUAGGGCUGCUGAACUUCCCGCUAAGUUUAAAUCUAUGCUUGUUCCUAGAAAGAUUCAUCAUAUCAUCUGUAGUGGUAACAUGUGCAUUAAAGUGAGUCUUUCUCAAUAUCAUUAAA